rnacentral:lncRNA from 1 species
UUGCUAAGAUCCAUGAUGGAUGGAUCUCUACAACUUACAUGUCUUGUGAUUCAUAGUUUUAGAAAUAUAUUAUCAAGACUAUCUUAAUAAUGUUUUCAGAAACCCAUAUUAUGUCCAAACAUUGAAUCAACAUUUAGUUGUAGCUAGCAAUCUUCGAAUUAAUUGAAACCAUGACUAUGUCAAAGAUGGUUUCUUCCAAGUCAACCAAUCUCUUUAAUUGUAGUCACCUUAAGCUACCAAUUAGCUACGGUGGUUUCAUUAUUUCGGGUCAAAUGGUACUUUACCAUUUCCUUGAGUAUAUGUCGUAUAUACACUCAAUGUAGUCAUAAGGAUUUUCAUUCUUAUUUCUUUCGAAUUAAGAGGUGUAACUCUAUGACAUAGUCAUAAAGUUCAAACCAUUCAACUGAGACAGUUUAUAAAUCCUUCUCGACUACCUUGGAGCUUGUGGUAUAGGAACUAGGUUGUUUAUAUUUGUUGAUUAUCAUCUUGUCUCUCAAAGAACCCAUUCUUUGAGUUCUAUCUCUUGUUCAUUCGCGCUAUCUUAGGCAAAUCCUAGUGUAGGAUUACAAUGAACUACCCAACAAACAACAUUUGUUAGUUGGUUUAUAGAAGUGAUAGCCAAAUGUUAAUUUAAGGAUAUCCACAAGAUAAUUCUCAAACAAAUAUUUUCUUAUUAGCACACAACCCCAAAUCUUAACUGU